CUAAAUUUAGCCUAACCAUGAGCCUAUCCUCUCCAACAAAAAGACAAAGACCACCUCUUAAUUUCUUCUUUCUUCACGGUUAAGAAUUGAGAAAAAUGAGCAAAGUCAGAAUUUGCUUCUUUCCCAUUUGUUGUUCAAUUGUUUCACUAAUCUUAACAUCCUUUAACAAGUUUAUGUUUAUCAAUCCACAUGACAAACUCUAUCAUUCUUCUUCUUUUAAAUUCUAGCAAUAAUACUCCUUUACGACCGUCUCUUGCUCGAGGAAACUAAGUUAACGGCUCCUCCUACCUCCUCGAGCUUGCUAUUAUGAAUACCCAAAUUGAGGAACUACUGAUGGAGGUUGAGAGUUCAGAUGAUUAGUGGAGAAUAAGUGAGAUAAUUAAAGAUGAUCAAAUGAGGUAUACUAUUUGCUUUGCAAGCCCAAAAUAUUGCACAUAAUCGAAGAAUCAAGAAUCAAGAAUAUUGAUUUAGAUGUUUGGGUUUUUUUUUAUUGUGAUGUUGUAAUAUUUUUUUUAUUUAUAUUGUAGUUCUUUUUUAUUUAUUUAUAUGUUGUAAUUGUUUAAUUUUAUAAUUCGUAUAUUUUAAUUUUUUCUUGACUAUAUACUGUAAAUUUCGGUUAUAUUCAAUGAUAUUCGAUUAAUA